AGACAUUAAGGGUGCACGGUGGAUGCCUUGGCUUACGUAGGCGAUGAAGGACGCGAUUAGUCAGCGAUACGCUUCGGGGAGGUGACAUAUAACCUUUGAUCCGGAGAUUUCCGAAUGGGGAAACCCUCCUGUCAUGAACAGGAACCGUAUUAGUAACUUUAUACGGAGCGCACCCGGGGAAGUGAAACAUCUCAGUACCCGGAGGAGUAGAAAGCAAUUGCGAUUCCCCAAGUAGCGGCGAGCGAAACGGGAACAGCCCAAACCUGCGUUUUCGAACGCAGGGGUUGUAAGACAAGAGCGCAGUACUUGUACUGGAAGAGUUACAAAUCAUUCUUAUAGAAGAAACUGUUGGGAAGCAGUGCCCUAGACGGUAAUAGCCCCGUAUUUGAAAUAAGAAUGACUCUUUUGCUCUUGUUCUUGAGUAGUUCGAGACACGAAUAGCUCGAAUGAAUCUGCCGGAACUAACCGGUAAGGCUAAAUACUACGUAAGACCGAUAGUGAACUAGUACCGUGAGGGAAAGGUGAAAAGAACCCCGGUGAGGGGAGUGAAAUAGAACUGAAACCGUGUACCUACAAAGGGUCGGAGCCGAGUAUCUUUAUGAUAUUUCGGUGACGGCGUGCCUAUUGAAGAAUGAGCCUGCGAGUAUAUAUCUGUUGCAUAGCUAAGCCCGUUAUGGGGCGGAGCUGUAGGGAAACCGAGUGUGAAUAGCGCGAUAGGUAGCAGGUAUAUGACCCGAAGCCAGAUGAGCUUGCCAUGAGCAGGGUGAAGUGUGUCGAAAGACACGUGGAGGCCCGAACCCAUAGGUCGUACAACGCCUUGGGAUGACUUGUGGUAAGGAGUGAAAAGCUAAUCGAAUCUGGUAAUAGCUGGUUCUCUCCGAAACAGCUUUAGGGUUGGCGUUGCGUGAUCCUUCCGGGGGUAGAGCACUGGAAGGGAUGAAUAGGGGGAAACCUCGUCAUUCCUAUCAACCUCCGAAUACCGGAAGUUAUAGCGCAGCAGUUAGAAGGCGGGGGCGAAGCUCCGUCGUUCAAAAGGGGAACAGCCCAGAUCGCCAGUUAAGGCCCCAAAAUCGACGCUCAGUACAAAACAAGGAGGUGAGGAUUCUCAGACAAUGAGGAGGUUGGCUUAGAAGCAGCCACCCUUUAAAGAAAGCGUAACAGCUCACUCAUCGAGAGUCCUUGCGCCGUAAAUAAUCGGGGUUAAGCGUCGUGCCGAAACUGCGGGUUUGCACACUUCACAGGGGAGGAAACUUCCAAAAAAUAAAGUUCUUUUCGGGGUGCUAUAGGACAAUCUUGUCAGAGGUUCGAAUCCUCUCACCCCGACCACCGUAUAAAAGCGGUGAUUAAGAAAUUUUGAGACGAAUAUAUUAAAGAUAAUUUAUGUUCGCCUCUCCUGUGAAGUGUGUAAGCGGUAGGAGAGCGUUCUGUUCCGCGAUGAAGAGAAAGGGGUGACCCAUCUUGGAGCGUACAGAAGUGAGAAUGCAGGCACAAGUAACCACAAUGCAGGUGAGAACCCUGCACAUCGAAAGACUAAGGUUUCCCGGGCCAUGACAAUCAGCCCGGGGUUAGUCGGGCCUAAGGGGAUGGCGAAAGCCGCACCCGAUGGACACAUGGUUAAUAUUCCAUGACCGACACACAUGCGAAGGGGUGACGGACUGUAGUACGUACGACCAAUUAUUGGAUUUUGGCCGGUUUCGUAAGGAGGUGUUCCAGGUAAAUCCGGAACACAUAUACUCCAAGCGAAGUCGCAACGUUCCUCUACGGGGGGAUGAAGCGUACGGAGCACAGUUCCAAGAAAAACCUCUAAGCUUCAGUGUGUGUUCGACCGUACCGAAAACCGACACAGGUGGUCUGGUCGAGAAGACUAAGAUGAACGAGUGAGAGGUCCUCAAGGAACUCGGCAAAACAGCGGCCGUAACUUCGGAAUAAGGCCUGCCCUGAGCAAUCAGGGCCGCAGCGAAAGAUUUCCUAGCGACUGUUUACCAAAAACACAGCUCCCUGCGAACUCGUAAGAGGAUGUAUAGGGGGUGACGCCUGACCAAUGCCGGAAGGUUAAGUACGGUUGGUUAUAUACUUCGGUAUCUAGCUGGACUGUAUAAGCCCCGGUGAAUGUCGGCGAUAACUAUGGAUGAUCGUAGUUAUAAAAUUCAGCCAUAUGCGGGAAACUCUGGUUAGGACUACGUACUACUCGGGAUGCAAUACUCCAAGUAACAAUGUACGAGUGGAAAUCAAGAUGAUUCGCCAGACAAUCCGCAGGAAAGAUCCAAAAUAAAAUAUGAAAAACAUUAAAGACAUACCAGUACAUAUUGGCUGGUACAUAGCGGGUUUUGUUGAUGGAGAAGGGAGCUUCAAUGUUUCUUUCUGCAAUCGUCCCGAUCAUAAAAACAUGUGGAAGACGACGCUAACAUUUAAUGUUGCGCAACGAGAUAAAACGGUGUUGGCGCUAAUUAAGCAACAUCUUGGAUGUGGCAGAUUGCAAGCAAGAAAAGACGGAGUCUGGUACUACGUUGUUUCAAACCCGCAAGCAAUUAAUGAGCGUGUCAUACCGUUUUUUACGCGGUUUAAGUUUCUUUCCGCAAAAUCCAAAAGAAACUUCAUGAUUUUUAAACAAAUUGUUCGCAAGAUGCUUGAUAAAGAGCAUCUUACACGAAAAGGUCUCCACGAGAUUGCAGUGUUACGCGAGCGUCUGAAUGAAAAUCGUGGCAGAAGACGGAAGUAUACCGUGAAAGAUAUUGAAAAAGGUAUACAUUGGAAAUCCUCAGAGACUAUACGCUGAACUCGACUUUCUUAAUUGAAAACAACGAGAUGAUAUAGUCCGGCCUCACAGGCGACUGUGAGAAUUGUUCUCUUUACUACCUUCUUGAGAACAGAUUAACAUUGACAAAUCGUCCUAAGGUAGCGAAAUUCCUUGUCAGGUAAGUUCUGACGUGCACGAAUGGCGUAACGACUAGGAAACUGUCUCGAGGACUCGCUCGGUGAAAAUGCAAUACCGGUGAAGAUGCCGGUUACCUGUAGUUAGACGAAAAGACCCCAGGAGCUUUACUGCAGCUUCGUAUUGGGGCUACGUGAUACGUGCGUAGCAUAGGUGGGAGACUUUGAAGCAUAUCUUUUGGGAUAUGUGGAGUCGUCAGUGAAAUACCACUCUCGUAUUGUGUAGUUCCUAACCGUCGGGUGGAACCCCGACGGGACAGUGCGUGGCAGGCAGUUUUAGUGGGGCGCUAUCCUCCUAAAAAGUAACGGAGGAGUCUAUUAAGGUCGGCUAGGCGCGAAUGGAAACCGUGCCGAUAGUGCAAUGGCAAAAGCCGGCUUAACUGCGAGGGGUACAUCCCAAGCAGGUGCGAAAGCAGAGCAUAGUGAACCGAUGGUUCGCCUUAGAAGCGGCCAGAGAUUAACGGAUAAAAGUUACCCUGGGGAUGAACCCUGCCCGUAUGAGUAUUAAAUACUCGUACGGUAGAAGGGUUGUUGUCCUCCCGUGGAGUAAUCCGCGGAUAUAAUAACGGCUAUAACGGUGAACCGGGAACUGAUCUUUCCCGUAUGUGAGUAUUUCUUGCAUACCGGGUUUUAGGUUUUCGGAAUACCGUGGGAAGUCGUGAGUGAUACACUUAAAAAAAGUAUGCAUCUAACAAAAAAACAAAAAGCUAUUUUAGUGGGAAGCGUCCUUGGCGAUGCUUUCCUUCAAAAAACCGGAACGCGCAAUGCGCGACUACGGUUUGAACAUGGUGCGAAACAAAAAGAAUACCUUCUUUGGAAAACGAACGCAUUUCCGCGACUUUUUCAAGGGAAGGCUACUCAUAUUUCGCGUGUUCAUCCCAAAACCAAAGCAACAUACGAGUAUUGGCGUUCGCAGUCAAAUGCGACGCCGGAACUCGGAAAGUGGCGUACAAUUUUUUACCCUGAAGGUAAGAAACGAGUACCUGCAAAUCUUGCGGAAAUCCUUACGGAUCCGCUUUCACUUGCUGUUUGGUAUAUGGACGAUGGAUACUAUUACCAAAAAGACAAAAAUAGUUUCUUGUAUCUUGGAAGAGUUUUUCGUGAAGAAGCGGAAUGUGCGCGCGAUGCGUUAGUUCAAAAUUUUGGGCUUGCACCGCGUGUAUAUGACAAAAAAACAAAAGGGUUCGCCCUGUUUUUUGGCGUCGCAGAAACGAAAAAAAUGCAUGCUUUAGUGCGACGGCAUAUGUUACUACCAUUGUUCGCAUAUAAAUUAAGUGAUACUCAUUGACCCCGUAACGACUUGCGCGCUUAUUGCGCGCAGAGCAUGAAAUCCGAAACCUGUGGAAACAGGUUUCCGUCGAACAAGGAUUUCAUCGCUAAUACGCCGUCCCCAAUAUUUUUUAAAAUGUUGGGUGAAGAUAUAGUCUAAUCAUUAGCCAUUCCAUAGUACCCAAAGCUUUGCUUUGUGUAUGAAAGAUUGAACAGGCUAGUACCGCCCAAGCGUCCAUAGCGACGGCGGUGUUCGGCACCUCGAUGUCGGCUCACCUUAGCGCGGGGCUGAAGCAGGUCCCAAGCGUUUGGCUGUUCGCCAAUUAAAAAGGUACGCGAGCUGGGUUCAAACCGUCGAGUACCUGAAUUGUGUAAACGAUUCGGAUACUCGACCUGUUUGAACCCACGAGGAAAACUGCGUGUGUGGAGACGCACGAUAUAAAUAUAUAACGACAACUCACGGCGGCACAUUGUAGGAAUACAGUGUGCGCAAUUCAACUUAUAUCGGUGAAACCCGGGAGUAAUGCUCCGGGCAAUACCGAGGGAAGCGCUUAUGCGCGCCCCUAGAGACUGAAUGUUGAACAUCCCAUCCGCCAAUAGGCGAAGGAUGAUGUUACAGUCCGACCCUCCGAGUAAUCGGAGUAAACGAAGUGCGUGAGACAGGUUGGUCUCCUAUCUACUACAGGCGUUGAUUCUUGAGGGGGCUCGUCCCUAGUAAAAAAUUGCUACUUCACAGAGAGAUCUGUGAUGACAAUGUGGCUUAUAACGGUGAAGUCUAAAGCCCAUCCGGACCGAAGAGUGUAGUAUCUACAUAGUCCAAAGGAAUACUACAUUCGCUUGAGGACCGGAAUGACGCUAUGAUAAUACCGUGGGAAGUCGAUCAAGUACUAUCAAAUUUUAAUGAUAGAUUGCUUGGUUUGACCCCGUAACGACUUACGUUGAAAGAUACGUGGACUCAUAGGUUGAGGAAUCGUUCCUGAAAUAGAGAACGACAGCUCCUAUGGGUAAGAUGCCACCAUCCUCGUCUGCAUUUAUUGCAGAACGGAUGAAGAUAUAGUCUGCGCUCCUGAAAACAGGGGAAGAACGUGACGAGAGGACCGGGAUGAACUGACCUCUGGUCUACCUGCUGUCGUGCCAACGGCAUCGCAGGGUAGCUAUGUCGGGUUUUGAUAACCGCUGAAAGCAUCUAAGCGGGAAGCUUGCCCCAAGAUUAGGAAUCGUUAUGAGACUCCUGGAAGACUACCAGGUUGAUAGGCUUUAGGUAUACGCACAGCAAUGUGUUUAGCCGAGAAGUACUAAUAUGUCCAGUCU
rnacentral:rRNA from 1 species